rnacentral:rRNA from 1 species
GUAAGCGCAAGUCAUCAGCUUGCGUUGAUUACGUCCCUGCCCUUUGUACACACCGCCCGUCGCUACUACCGAUUGAAUGGCUCAGUGAGGCGUCCGGACUGGCCCCAGGAGGUGGGCAACUACCCCCCAGGGCCGGAAAGCUCUCCAAACUCGGUCAUUUAGAGGAAGUAAAAGUCGUAACAAGGUCUCCGUUGGUGAACCAGCGGAGGGAUCAUUA